rnacentral:lncRNA from 1 species
AAAAACAAGAGAUCGGUGAGUUACGUAACGACCACCCCGCCUCCUGGUGUGAAGCCCAGAUCGACGGUAACAGAAGAGACCGCCGGAAGGGACGUGGAGAUGGUGGAUGCUGAGCUAGGGGAGGGGAAUGCCGGUCUGGAGGAGGAAGAGGCAAGGAAUCGCCCUGAGGAAGCGAGAGAACUGGGAAUCGCCAGGGCGGUGAUCGCCAGAGAAACCAGACCAAAACCCGUCGAGCAGUGGCUCAAGAGAGAAAUCGGGGGAAAGAUCUUCAAGCUGGGAAGAUCCCUGGAGGUUGAGCUCCAGGACCAGAUCGCCAACGUGAUUGAGCGGCAUCUGAACGCGUUUGCAUGGUCCGCUUCGGACAUGCCCGGGAUCGAUCCCG